UAUUCUGUGUUAGCAGUGGCGUAAGGGUGCUUAACACGUGGGUAAUCUGCCGCGAAGUGUGGGAUAACUCGCUGAAAGGCGAGCUAAUACCGCAUGUGAUUUUCCUGAGGCAUCUCAGGGAAUUCAAACAUGGGUCGCAAGACCUGUGGUUUCGCGAUGAGCCCGCGGCCUAUCAGCUAGUUGGCGGGGUAAAAGCCCACCAAGGCUAAGACGGGUAGCUGGUCUGAGAGGACGACCAGCCACACUGGAACUGAGACACGGUCCAGACACCUACGGGUGGCAGCAGUCGAGAAUUUUUCACAAUGGGGGAAACCCUGAUGGAGCGACGCCGCGUGGGGGAUGAAGGGCUUCGGUUCGUAAACCCCUGUCAUUGGCGAACAAGUGUUACGUUAUAAUACAGCGUGACUUGAUAGUAGCCGAAGAGGAAGGGACGGCUAACUCUGUGCCAGCAGCCGCGGUAAUACAGAGGUCCCGAGCGUUGUUCGGAUUCACUGGGCGUAAAGGGUGCGU
rnacentral:rRNA from 1 species